rnacentral:rRNA from 1 species
UACAACGCACUACCUGUUCAUAGUAGUCGUUGCUGUCAACAGCACACUGCUCACCAGCAACGCAGGGGACUACAUCUUCUACACAGACUGGGCGUGCACGUCCCUCGUGGUGUUCUCGGUGGCGCAGGCGACAAUGCUUGCUCUAGGCGCAUUAUGCUACAUUUUCUUCCCAGUGAGUCAGGACACGCAAACAUAUUACGCCAAUAUCAUCACCAUAUUCCCAAAGCUCCAAAUGGCUCCCUGGUUGUCACUUCUUUACCCCUACCCCUCGUUCGGCCGACACGACGCAACAAGCACGCUGCCAUACGGAUUGGCGGUACGCUGGUUGUCCUAUCCUUCCCGCUGUUCAACAUGGUCAACCUGUUGCUUGUCAGCGUCCCGCUCGAGGUGGCCUUCAAGUAUCCGAGACCGACACUGCCCGCGUACAUGACGCCUAGUGAGCCUCAGGUAAGGAAGUUCUCCAACUCGCCUGUCGCCCUGGGUUCAGGUGCCGGUGCAGUGCUAACGGUACCCAUCGCUGCGUUGGGUGCAAAACUAAACACGUGG